rnacentral:rRNA from 1 species
UACGUAGGGUGCAAGCGUUAAUCGGAAUUACUGGGCGUAAAGCGUGCGCAGGCGGUUCGCUGUGUCCUGUGUGAAAGCCCCGGGCUUAACCUGGGAAUGGCAUGGGAAACUGGCGGGCUGGAGUGUGGCAGAGGGGGUGGAAUUCCGCGUGUAGCAGUGAAAUGCGUAGAGAUGCGGAGGAACACCGAUGGCGAAGGCAGCCCCCUGGGCUAACACUGACGCUCAGGCACGAAAGCGUGGGGAGCAAACAGG